rnacentral:misc_RNA from 1 species
GAUGAAGAACGUAGCGAAAUGCGAUAAGUAAUGUGAAUUGCAGAAUUCAGUGAAUCAUCGAAUCUUUGAACGCACAUUGCGCCCCCUGGAAUUCCGGGGGGCAUGCCUGUUCGAGCGUCUCAGGGACGAACCCUCGCGCGGGUGUACGCGCGGUCGUGGCUGCGGUGGCGUGCCCGAGGCGGCGGCCACCGCGCUGGAAUCCAUGGGCGGACGCCUGCCGCGUGGCCGAGCGUGAUAUGACGCAUUAGCGCUCGCACGCGGCGAGGCUGCCAGCCCUGGCCCGUCUGUCGGGCGGGGGAGAGCAAGACACGUGAACUCCUCGAAUCAGGUAGGGAUACCCGCUGAACUUAAGCAUAUCAAUAAGCGGAGGA